GGGGAUGUAGCUCAGUGGUAGAGUGUGUGCCUUGCAUGUAUGAGGCCCCGGGUUCAAUCCCUGGCAUGUCCA